AAUCAACGCUGGCGGCGUGCCUAACACAUGCAAGUCGAACGAGAAAGGGGACUUCGGUCCCUGAGUAAAGUGGCGCACGGGUGAGUAACACGUGACUUAUCUACCCUCGAGUGGGGAAUAACUUCGGGAAACCGAGGCUAAUACCGCAUAAUACCCACGGGUCAAAGGAGCAAUUCGCUUGAGGAGGAGGUCGCGGCCCGAUUAGUUAGUUGGCGGGGUAAUGGCCCCACCAAGACAGUGAUCGGUAUCCGGCCUGAGAGGGCGCACGGACACACUGGAACUGAAACACGGUCCAGACUCCUACGGGAGGCGGCAGUGGGGAAUUUUGCGCAAUGGGGGAAACCCUGACGCAGCAACGCCGCGUGGAGGAUGAAGUCUCUUGGGACGUAAACUCCUUUCGAUCGGGACGAUUAUGACGGUACCGGAAGAAGAAGCCCCGGCUAACUUCGUG
rnacentral:rRNA from 1 species